CGCGCGUGGCCUCCCUUUCCUCGGGGCCCCGUCCUCUUGCUCGUUCUCCCCCAUCUCCCCUCCCGCCCUCACCCCACCUCUCCUUCCCCCACUUCUCCUCUCCCUCUCUCCUCCUUGGCUCCUUCCCGAGUCCCUUACAUCCCCGAACUCUGCAUCCUCAGGGUGCCCCAAGACCAGCCCUCGUCCUGCUUCCUGCCUGCUCUCCGGCCUGUGGCUUUGGUGUGCGCCAGUGUCUAUAGGCUGUCCUGGGGCCAGCAGCAAACACAAGCAAAGCCCACUUUUGUCUGUUGACCUCUGAAGGCAACCAUGGGCCCGGAGACACCUCCCCAGGCUCUCCUAAGUCACAGAUAUGGCACCAUCAGAAGCAAGACAGACGCCCAGCAGCACAAAUGCUCCACCAAUGACAUCGGGCUUUGCAGCAUGUUUUGGUUUCUUUGGUCUAAGUCUAACUAAGACAAGCUCUCAUUUCAGGGUACACUGGCAAGUGGGAAAUUCACAUCCCAGUGAUAUGUUAGUGCUACGUAUGCAUUUACCGGUAAAAACACUGUGCGUGUAUUUUACAUUUGACACCUUCACAUCCAUUAUCUAAUAUAGCCCACACCUGUAAGAUAGGCAUAAUGGACCCUCAUUUUAAGCAAAGAGAGACUCAGAGGUUGUGUGACCUUUUCAAGACUAUACAGCUAGUUGACUGGGGAUAGAACCCAGAUUUUUGACUCAAAAUUUCUUCCCUAUUCUUCUCUUCAAGCCCUCUUAUGUUGUGGACCACAGUCACUUACCCUAGAUGGUUACAGAAUGGGGUUUUCCUCACUGAAUGCAUCAAGUCUUCUUAUCUUCAAGCCUCUGCUGAAAUAUAAUUACCAAAAGGUCCUCCUGACAGCCACCAUAUCUGACUUGAUAGGUCUCUCCUG
rnacentral:lncRNA from 1 species